UCUUGACUUGAAAACAAGGAACACACAGACACUGGGUUGCAUUGCCUUCAGGGAGGCCACAGUUGAUAAAUGUAUAACACAGCAUCAUGCUAGGUACAUUCACAACUUUAUUCUGCAGAGGAGAAAGCUGAAAUAAUCAAAUUCUGCUAUGCAGGGAGAAGGUGGCUACACCUCCAUGAAGAACUGAGUGUGCACACAAACCCAUCUUCAAUCUGGCAGCUGCAGUGGGAAUGCCAACAUUCCACUUUUUCCUGCAGGGAUCAGGAAUUUUAAGACCACUCAGGGAAUUGGGAGAGCUGCUCCAGCAAAUGUCACCAAAGCUCUCAGGACAGGAAUCAUCCUCAACUGCAGCUUAGGAAAUGACAAUACCAAGAGGGAAGUGGGAUGAACUGAGUACAGGAUUUUUUGCUCUUUCAUAGGAUUUAAUACCAAAUCCUAAA